rnacentral:tmRNA from 1 species
CAUGGCUUCGACGCGGGUCGCGAAACUCCAGGUGCAUGCCGAGGUGCAGGUGCCUCGUUAAACUGUCUGCAAACCUAUAGUUGCCAACGACGACAACUACGCACUCGCCGCUUAAUACCCGGUAGGGUGCCGUCUGGCCGGAGCCGUGCUUGUGCGUCCGUAACCAGGCGUCAUUUCUCACAAGCUCGCCGCAAAGCCUGCCCGGGGUGGCGCGGUUAAAACUCAACCGGGCUCGCCGUUCGUCUUCCCUGCCCGUCGGGUAGCGAACGGUCAAAACAAUAGACGCGGAUAAGCAUGUAGAUCCUGGGGCGGAGGGCUCGCGGACGCGGGUUCGAUUA